GCAAACUUGGUCAUUUAGAGGAAGUAAAAGUCGUAACAAGGUUUCUGUAGGUGAACCUGCAGAAGGAUCAUUAGUGAAUGCCUGGGCUGUCAUACGGACUGCGGUCUCUGACGCCCACCCACUAUAUCCGCAAACCCUGUGCACUGUGGUGUUGUCUUGGACACACCUCGCCAACCAACUCGUCUUUGUAUCUGUACGUGUCUACUUGGCCUAAGCCAAAAAUCAACACAACUUUCGACAACGGAUCUCUUGGUUCUCCCAUCGAUGAAGAACGCAGC
rnacentral:misc_RNA from 1 species